rnacentral:rRNA from 1 species
CCAAUAGCGUAUAUUAGUGUUGUUGCGGUUAAAAAGCUCGUAGUUGAAUUUCGGGAUUGGGAUAUAUCGGUCGUGCCUUUAGGGGCAUGAAACGGUGUGUAGCCAAUUUCUCACCUUCUGGUGAGUCGGGAUGCUCUUGGGUGUUUCGAUGAACCAGGACAUUUACUAUGAAAAAAUUAGAGUGUUUAAAGCGGGCAUUUUUGCUUGAAUACAUUAGCAUGGAAUAAUAAAAUAGGACGAUGGUUCUAUUUUGUUGGUUUUAGGACUACGUAAUGAUUAAUAGGGAUAGUUGGGGGCAUUAGUAUUCAAUUGUCAGAGGUGAAAUUCUUGGAUUUAUUGAGGACUAACUACUGCGAAAGCAUUUGCCAAGGAUGUUUUCAUUAAUCAAGAACGAAAGUUAGGGGAUCAAAGACGAUUUAUGUACGUCGUAGUCUUAACCAUAAACUAUGCCGACUAGGAAUCAGACAAAGUUCAUUUUUUAACGACUUGUUUGGUACCUUACG